UCUUCAUUUUGCACACUCUCUCACCGGUCAGAUACGCGAGUGAAUGUGCAAAAUGAAGAGA
rnacentral:pre_miRNA from 1 species